GCUGCACGCACAGCCGCUGCCGGGGGUCGGGGCCAAGUGCGCGCCUCGCCGAGGACGAAGAGGCUGGCGUGCCCGGUGGCUCGGCUAGCUCCCGGGUCCCGGCCCCGCCUGGAGGAUGGAGUUUCUCUCUUGUGGCCCAGGCUGGAGUGCAAUAGCACCAUCUCGGCUCACUGCAACCUCUGCCUCCCAGGUUCAAGUGAUUCUCCUGCCUCAGCCUCCUGAGUAGCUAGGAUUACAGAUUUACAGGAGCAUUGUGACUGGACCAAGGACAAAGAAGUUCCCAACCUCCUCGGACCCUCGCUGCUGCCCAGAUGUCUGCCAUGGGGUGCCAUCAUCGAAUCCACUGAGGGCGCAAAUAGAACAAAAAGGUGAAGAAAAGGUGAAUUCUCUCCUUUCUUGAGCUGGGACAUCCAACUUCUCAGACAUCAGAGCUCCUGGAGGCCUUCAGACUCCGAGACAUUACACCAUUGGCUCACCUGGUCCUCAGGUCUUUGGACUUGGAAUGAAUUACACCAUUGGCUUUCCAGGUCUUCCAGCUUGCAGAUGGCAGAUUGUGGGAUUUUUCAGCCUCCAUAACUUUGUCAUCCAAUUCCCAUAAUAAAUCGCCUCUUAUAUCUGUA